rnacentral:rRNA from 1 species
ACCCGCUGAACUUAAGCAUAUCAAUAAGCGGAGGAAAAGAAACCAACAGGGAUUGCCUCAGUAACGGCGAGUGAAGCGGCAACAGCUCAAAUUUGAAAUCUGGGACUUUCAGUCUCCGAGUUGUAAUUUGAAGAGGAUGUUUCGGUUGGGACCUGGGCCUAAGUUCCUUGGAACAGGACGUCGUAGAGGGUGAGAAUCCCGUACACGGCUACCGGUCUCCUUCCAUGUGUAACUCCCUCGAAGAGUCGAGUUGUUUGGGAAUGCAGCUCAAAAUGGGUGGUAAAUUUCAUCUAAAGCUAAAUAUUGGCGAGAGACCGAUAGCGCACAAGUAGAGUGAUCGAAAGAUGAAAAGCACUUUGAAAAGAGAGUUAAACAGUACGUGAAAUUGUUGAAAGGGAAGCGCUUGCAAUCAGACUUGCCUUCAGUUGAUCAACGUUCCUUUUGGUUCGUGCACUCUGCUGUUUGCAGGCCAGCAUCAGUUGGUGCGGUGGGACAAAGGUAGCGGGAAUGUGGCUCACUUCGGUGAGUGUUAUAGCCCGUUGCGUAAUGCCACAGCGCCGAUUGAGGUCCGCGGUUCGUCCUAGAUGCUGGCUUAAUGGUUUAAGCGACCCGUCUUGAAACACGG